rnacentral:rRNA from 1 species
GAGGCGAACCGGGGGAACUGAAACAUCUAAGUACCCCGAGGAAAAGAAAUCAACCGAGAUUCCGAAAGUAGCGGCGAGCGAAAUUGGACUAGCCCUUAAGCUUUACACGCGUUAGACGAACGGUCUGGAAAGUCCGACGAUACAGGGUGAUAGUCCCGUAGUUGACGACGUGUGUUCAGUGAAAUCGAGUAGGGCGGGACACGUGAUAUCCUGUCUGAAUAUGGGGGGACC